rfam:Mycobacterium sp. E740 contig_136, whole genome shotgun sequence.
GAAGUUCCGGUUCACGCCCGUCACCUCCGACGCGGAGGGGCGACCCGGGGCC